CGGGAAGUGGGAUAGUGGCUAAUCCGUCUGGUUUGGGGCCAGAAUAUCGGGGGUUCGAAUCCCCCCUUCCCGA
rnacentral:tRNA from 1 species